UACGAAGGGGGGCUAGCGUUGCUCGGAAUCACUGGGCGUAAGGGGUGCGUAGGCGGGUCUUUUAAGUCAGGGGUGAAAUCCUGGAGCUCAACUCCAGAACUGCCUUUGAUACUGAAGAUCUUGAGUUCGGGGAGAGGUGAGUGGAACUGCGAGUGUAGAGGUGAAAUUCGUAGAUAUUCGCAAGAACACCAGUGGCGAAGGCGGCUCACUGGCCCGAUACUGACGCUGGAUGCACGAAAGCGUGGGGAGCAAACAGG
rnacentral:rRNA from 1 species